rnacentral:rRNA from 1 species
UACGGGGGGAGCGAGCGUUAUUCGUCAUGACUGGGCGUAAAGGCGAUCUGUAGGUGGCUUAGUUUGAAAUUUUUGCUUGUAAAGCCUUGUGGUUAGACACUGGGAGUGUGGCAAUUAUUUGCUUGGCUUUGAGUUUACUGGAUGGUUUAGCAGUACCCACAGAGUAGAGGUGGAAUCCGGUAGAUACUGAUGGGGACUCACAAUAUGUGAAAACGGCAACCGUCGGUAGUACUGACGCUGAGGGAUGAAAGCAUGGGGAGCAAACAGG